ensembl:lncRNA
GUUUUAGUUGAUUCUUUUAUACAAAUAGGGUAACUAUAAUUCAGUGUUUUAAAAGAAAGCAAUUUUAAAAAGAACUGCAUAUCAAAUGAGGUUACGAUGACUAGAAGGGUUGACUUUUUGUAGAUUCCCAUUUCAGGCACAAAUGGCGAAUAUUUAAUGAGAGCAAAACGCUUUAAUCUGCAGACAGAUCAUAAGCAAGGAACUAAAUAAGUAAUCUAGUUAAUAGAUCAGCCGAAGAUCAGAAAUACUUUCAUCUAUGAAAGUUGCAUUUAUCAAUCUAGUGUGGGGUGUGAGAGCACACUCCUUAGGAAGCUAUGAUACAUGCCAGUGCAAGCACACAAGGAAAAACCUAUGAUGGGAUUUGUGUUCUAGUUGGGUAUUAAUGGGGAGAGAUGACAGGGGCAAAGAUUUGCUCUAGAUUGUUGUCGCAAAGCAGUGCCAAGUCUAUGAUUGGAUAUCUCAGUAAAUGUUACCUACAGAAAAAGUAGAUUAGGGCAUGUUUAAAACUCUAACUAGUCGAAAGAAAGAAGUCACUUGUAUAGUCAAGGCAAUGGUUGUUAUUGUGUGGGUUGUACCAUGACCUUGUUGACAUGAAUGUCCUGUGUGAUUUUCGUGUCUAAUAGAGAAGCCACAUGACUGAAUUCUAACAGCUCUAACUGCAAUUACUUUGAGGCCUGGAUCACAGCAUCAUAUCAAAAGUCGUUUCUUUUUUCUCAUGUAUUAUUCAGAAAAUAGGCAGGAAGAGGUGAUAAAUACCACUAGAACUAAAUUCAUAAUUUAGCCAAAGACCAAAGACGGCCCCUUUGUGAAGAUACAUUAAGCUAAGAUGGGAGAAAUAAGGAUUCAGGAACCGAGACAGAAUUCCAUCAGAGGAAAGCAAGUAUGAAGAAACUGGGAGAGGACGUGCUGGGCAUGACUGAACCAGACAGGACAGUGUAUGUGGCAAGAAAGGAGAGGAAGGGAGACUGGCCAGUCACACAGAGCCAUGGAGGUUGUAGGAAGGGAUUUCAUUUAUUCUAACUAUGGAAAACAUUCAAAGUCUGUAUGUAUGUACCUAUGGAAUGAAUAAUUAGUAACCCCAUGCUGCACCCAAACCCCGCUGUUGGUGUGCUAUGGACUAAAUUGUGUCCUUUCUCUAAAUUCACAUGGAGAAGCCCUAAUCCUCAUACAGUAAAAUGUGACUGGAUUUGGAGCUAGGAUCUUAGAAGAGAGAUAAUUUAGUCUAAAUGAAGUUGUUUAGGAUGGGCCUUAAUCCAGUAUGGCCAGUGUCUUUACUAGAAAAGGAAAUUAGGACAUAGAGAGAAGAUCGUGUAAAGACACAGGGAGAAGACAAGCAUCACCAAGCAAGAGAGAGAGGCCUCAGAAGAAACUACACCUGCCAAAACCUUGACCUCAUACUCCUGGCCUCCAGGUGUGUGAGAAAAUUAAUUUCUACUCUUUUUACUAAUUAGUGUGUGGUAUUUUGGUUCAGCAGCCUACCCAGCUAAUUUACAAAGUGACUAGUAGAGCAUCUCUGAAUGCCCAAAUCUGUGAAGUCAAUGCUAGAUUUCCUGUGCAUCAGUGUUUACUUUCGCCAAAAAGAUAAAAGGCAUUACAGUUAAUGACACUAAAAAAUCACCUCUGUUGGCUUCAGAUUCAUAGUUAGGAGUUAGGACAAGGUAACUAUCACUCAUCAAACGCUAGAGCCAUUGGAUCUAUCUUAGGGGCCACUGAAAUCAUCCUUUCCAAAAUAGAACUCUGUAUUUAUAACAUAUCUUUCUUCUAAGGAGUUCAAAACACUUCAAAGACAUGUUCAUAACAAUUCUCCCAGCACCCUGUGAAGGCAGGUAGGUGGGAAAUAUUAUCAUUCUUAUUUGACAUUGCUAUACACCUACUCACUUGAUUAUAAGAUCAUUUUAACUGAAUAUACAUUUUUUUCAGGGAAAAGAAUAAAUGGCCAGGAAAAAAAAAAGAUGUUCA